rnacentral:rRNA from 1 species
AGUGAACGCUGGCGGCGUGCUUAACACAUGCAAGUCGAGCGGAAAGGCCACUUCGGUGGUACUCGAGCGGCGAACGGGUGAGUAACACGUGAGUAAUCUGCCCUUGGCUUUGGGAUAGCCACCGGAAACGGUGAUUAAUACCGGAUACGACCACUUCUCGCAUGGGAUGGUGGUGGAAGGUUUUUCGGCCAGGGAUGUGCUCGCGGCCUAUCAGCUUGAUGGUGAGGUAAUGGCUCACCAUGGCUUCGACGGGUAGCCGGCCUGAGAGGGUGACCGGUCACACCGGGAAUGAGACACGGCACAGACUCCUACGGGAUGCAGCAGUGGGGAAUAUGGGACAAUGAGCGGGAGCCUGAUCCAGCAACGCCGCGUGAGGGAUGACGGCCUUCGGGUUGUAAACCUCUUUCGGUGGGGACGAAGCGCAAGUGACGGUACCCACUAAAGAAGCACCGGCCAACUACGUGCCAGCCGCCGCCGCGG